rnacentral:rRNA from 1 species
CAAUAGCGUAUAUUAAAGUUGUUGCGGUAAAAAAGCUCGUAGUUGGAUUUCUGUUGAGAGCGACCGGUCCAUACCAUGUAUGCGUAUCUGGCUUGCUCUCGGCAUCCUCUCGAUAGACGUUACUGCGCUUGAUUGCGUGGUGCGGAUCUCGGGACUUUUACUUUGAGGAAAUUAGAGUGUUCACGGCAGGCUUUCGCCAGAAUACAUUAGCAUGGAAUAAUACUAUAGGAUCUUGGUUCUAUUUUGUUGGUUUCUAGAAUUGAGAUAAUGAUUAAUAGGGACAAUUGGGGGCAUUCGUAUCAACACGUCAGAGGUGGAAUUCUUGGAUUGUGUUGCGACGAACUACUGCGAAAGCAUUUGCCGAGGAUGUUUUCAUUGA